rnacentral:rRNA from 1 species
UACGUAGGGGGCAAGCGUUGUCCGGAAUCAUUGGGCGUAAAGAGCGUGUAGGCGGCCCGGUAAGUCCGCCGUGAAAGUCCAGGGCUCAACCCUGGGAUGCCGGUGGAAACUGUCGGGCUCGAGUCCGGAAGAGGCGAGUGGAAUUCCUGGUGUAGCGGUGAAAUGCGCAGAUAUCAGGAGGAACACCAAUAGCGAAGGCAGCUCGCUGGGACGGUACUGACGCUGAGACGCGAAAGCGUGGGGAGCGAACAGG